rnacentral:lncRNA from 1 species
GUUUUAUUUAUUUAUAUAUUUUUAAAGAUUUUAUUUAUUUAUUUGACGGGCAGAGAUCACAAGUAGGCAUAGAGGCAGUCAGAGAGAGAGAGGAGGAAGCAGGCACUCCUCUCAUCCCAGGACCCUGGGAUCAUGACCCGAGCCAAAGGCAGAGGCUUUAACCCACUGAGCCACCCAGGAGCCCCAAAUUCUCUGUAUUAAAAAAAAAUCAUUCAUGAUCUCGUUUCUUUCUUUUCUUUUUUUAAAAGAUGUUAUUUACUUAUUUGUCAGAGAGAAAGAACCAGGGGAGGGAGAGGCAGGCAGAAGGAGAAGCAAGGAGCCCAAUGAGGGACACAGUCCCAGGACCCUGGGAUCAUGACCCAAGCCAAAGGCAGAUGCUUAAUUGACUGAACCACCCAGGCGCCCCAAGCUGCGUGUUUCUUAAGGCCUGGAUGGAGAAAUUGGUUCAGCGUUUAUUCCUUCCAAGCCGUCAUAGAGUACAGAUUCAAGGACGGGGAUUUUGAUUCCCCCACUCAAUAUCGUUGAAGAAUACCAAAGGAUUGAAGAAUAUCAAAGGAUUUGUGGGCGUGUUUUAUUUUUUAAUUUUUCAGUAAGCUUGAGGCACAACGUGGGGCUUGAACUCAAGACCUCCAGAUCAAGAGCCGCAUGCUCUACCAACAGAGCCAGCCAGGUGCCCCAGAUUUGUGGGCCUGUUUUAAACUUCCCACAGAGUGUGUGUAGGAGUAAGGGUCAAGGAGAUACCCUCAGGGAGGCAGAGUCAGAAAGAAUGAGAGGUGCCUAGGUGGCUUAGUUGGUUAAGCAGUUAAGUGUCCGCCUUUGGCUCAGGUCAUGAUCACAGGGUCCUGGGAUUGAGCCCUUCUAUGGGCUCCCUGCCCAGAGGUCAGCCUUCUUCUCCCUUUCUGUCUGGGCCCCCUCCUUGUCUGUCUCUAUCAGAUAAAUAAAUAAAAUCUUUAGAAAAAGAGAGAGAGAAUGAGCUUAAAUUCUGGGUCACAGCAGGUGCAGCCAUCCUUCCCACCUGGGGUUCUUCCCAUGUUUUGUUAUUUGAACUUUAUUGACUCUGUAAAGCUCAGCAGAAAGUUUACAUUCUCAGAAUAUCCUUUUUCUGACUCCAGCAUGAAGUCAAACACUGUCAUAGCUCUUUCUUCUUUUCCUUCACAGCACUUCACAAAGUUUCUAUUUAUAUUUAUGUGGCUGUUUUAUCUCUUCCACUGGAUUAUGACUGUCCUUAAAAGCAGAGAGAGAGAGAGCAA